UCGAGAAUCUUUCGCAAUGGGCGAAAGCCUGACGAAGCGACGCCGUGUGAACGAAGAAGGCCUUCGGGUUGUAAAGUUCUUUCGCUUGGGAACAAGGGAUAUAUACUAAUACUAUAUAAACUUGAGAGUACUAGGUAAAGAAGCACCGGCUAACUCCGUGCCAGCAGCUGCGGUAAUACGGAGGGUGCAAGCAUUAAUCGGAAUUACUGGGCGUAAAGGGCGCGUAGGCGGUUAUGAAAGUCAUGAGUGAAAUUCCAAGGCUUAACCUUGGAGCAGCUUGUGAAACUACAAAACUAGAGGUAAGGUGGAGAAAACGGAAUUCCCCAUGUAGCGGUGAAAUGCGUAGAUAUGGGGAGGAACACCGGUGGCGAAAGCGGUUUUCUAACCUUCACCUGACGCUGAGGCGCGAAAGCGAGGGGAGCAAACA
rnacentral:rRNA from 1 species